rnacentral:tRNA from 1 species
ACUGUUUUGGCAGAUUUAGUGUAUUAAAUUUAGAAUUUAAUUAAGUGAUUUAAUAAUCAUAUACAGUA